UCCCCGUUAUCCUGGGCAGUCCUUCCAGAGUUCCCGGCAUGACCCGUUGGCAACUGGAAGCAGGGGUUGCGCUCGUUGCGGGACUUAACCCAACGUCUCGCGACACGAGCUGACGACAGCCAUGCACCACCUGUACACCGACAAAAAGGGGCACCAUCUCUGGCGCUUUCCGGCGUAUGUCAAACCCAGGUAAGGUUCUUCGCGUUGCAUCGAAUUAAUCCACAUGCUCCGCUGCUUGUGCGGGUCCCCGUCAAUUCCUUUGAGUUUUAGCCUUGCGGCCGUACUCCCCAGGCGGGGCACUUAAUGCGUUAGCUCCGGCACGGGAGGAGUCGACACCUCCCACACCUAGUGCCCAUCGUUUACGGCGUGGACUAC
rnacentral:misc_RNA from 1 species